rnacentral:lncRNA from 1 species
CAGGCCUGGAGGUGGGAUAAGGCUCGCUGAGUUCCAGAUGGGAGGCUGCUGGGAUCCUGCAGUGGCUGCGGCCACCUCGGCCACCUCAUGGGCAGAUUGGAAUACUGAAGCAUAGAGAGGCUAAAGAACUUGUUCAAGUUCACCCGGCUAGUGAAUGACGGCAUGAGAGUUCAGACACAGCCAAGCCAGCUCCAGAGUCGCUGCUCCAGUGGCCACUGAUACUGCCUGAGCCAGCGGAAGCCUAAGACUCACCCUUGGCACCCACCAUAAGGCCAGGCUGAAUGGCUAGAGGCUGAGACUUCCCUGUGCGGUGAGGGAGGAGGC